UUUGGUUAAGUUAGAAAGGGCGCACGGUGGAUGCCUUGACACUAGGAGUCGAUGAAGGACGGGACUAACGCCGAUAUGCUUCGGGGAGCUGUAAGUAAGCUUUGAUCCGAAGAUUUCCGAAUGGGGAAACCCACCAUACGUAAUGGUAUGGUAUCCUUAUCUGAAUACAUAGGGUAAGGAAGACAGACCCAGGGAACUGAAACAUCUAAGUACCUGGAGGAAGAGAAAGCAAAUGCGAUUUCCUGAGUAGCGGCGAGCGAAACGGAACAUAGCCCAAACCAAGAGGCUUGCCUCUUGGGGUUGUAGGACAUUCUAUACGGAGUUACAAAGGAACGAGGUAGACGAAGCGACCUGGAAAGGUCCGUCGUAGAGGGUAACAACCCCGUAGUCGAAACUUCGUUCUCUCUUGAAUGUAUCCUGAGUACGGCGGAACACGUGAAAUUCCGUCGGAAUCUGGGAGGACCAUCUCCCAAGGCUAAAUACUCCCUAGUGAUCGAUAGUGAACCAGUACCGUGAGGGAAAGGUGAAAAGCACCCCGGAAGGGGAGUGAAAGAGAUCCUGAAACCGUGUGCCUACAAAUAGUCAGAGCCCGUUAACGGGUGAUGGCGUGCCUUUUGUAGAAUGAACCGGCGAGUUACGAUCCCGUGCGAGGUUAAGCUGAAGAGGCGGAGCCGCAGCGAAAGCGAGUCUGAAUAGGGCGUUUAGUACGUGGUCGUAGACCCGAAACCAGGUGAUCUACCCAUGUCCAGGGUGAAGUUCAGGUAACACUGAAUGGAGGCCCGAACCCACGCACGUUGAAAAGUGCGGGGAUGAGGUGUGGGUAGCGGAGAAAUUCCAAUCGAACCUGGAGAUAGCUGGUUCUCCCCGAAAUAGCUUUAGGGCUAGCCUUAAGUGUAAGAGUCUUGGAGGUAGAGCACUGAUUGGACUAGGGGUCCUCAUCGGAUUACCGAAUUCAGUCAAACUCCGAAUGCCAAUGACUUAUCCUUAGGAGUCAGACUGCGAGUGAUAAGAUCCGUAGUCAAAAGGGAAACAGCCCAGACCGCCAGCUAAGGUCCCAAAGUGUGUAUUAAGUGGAAAAGGAUGUGGAGUUGCUUAGACAACUAGGAUGUUGGCUUAGAAGCAGCCACCAUUUAAAGAGUGCGUAAUAGCUCACUAGUCGAGUGACUCUGCGCCGAAAAUGUACCGGGGCUAAAUACACCACCGAAGCUGCGGAUUGAUACCAAUGGUAUCAGUGGUAGGGGAGCGUUCUAAGGACAGUGAAGUCAGACCGGAAGGACUGGUGGAGUGCUUAGAAGUGAGAAUGCCGGUAUGAGUAGCGAAAGACGGGUGAGAAUCCCGUCCACCGAAUGCCUAAGGUUUCCUGAGGAAGGCUCGUCCGCUCAGGGUUAGUCAGGACCUAAGCCGAGGCCGACAGGCGUAGGCGAUGGACAACAGGUUGAUAUUCCUGUACCACCUCUUUAUCGUUUGAGCAAUGGAGGGACGCAGAAGGAUAGAAGAAGCGUGCGAUUGGUUGUGCACGUCCAAGCAGUUAGGCUGAUAAGUAGGCAAAUCCGCUUAUCGUAAAGGCUGAGCUGUGAUGGGGAAGCUCCUUAUGGAGCGAAGUCUUUGAUUCCCCGCUGCCAAGAAAAGCUUCUAGUGAGAUAAAAGGUGCCUGUACCGCAAACCGACACAGGUAGGCGAGGAGAGAAUCCUAAGGUGUGCGAGAGAACUCUGGUUAAGGAACUCGGCAAAAUGACCCCGUAACUUCGGGAGAAGGGGUGCUUUCUUAACGGAAAGCCGCAGUGAAUAGGCCCAAGCGACUGUUUAGCAAAAACACAGCUCUCUGCGAAGCCGUAAGGCGAAGUAUAGGGGGUGACACCUGCCCGGUGCUGGAAGGUUAAGGAGAGGGGUUAGCGUAAGCGAAGCUCUGAACUGAAGCCCCAGUAAACGGCGGCCGUAACUAUAACGGUCCUAAGGUAGCGAAAUUCCUUGUCGGGUAAGUUCCGACCCGCACGAAAGGUGUAACGAUUUGGGCACUGUCUCAACCAGAGACUCGGUGAAAUUAUAGUACCUGUGAAGAUGCAGGUUACCCGCGACAGGACGGAAAGACCCCGUGGAGCUUUACUGUAGCCUGAUAUUGAAUUUUGGUACAGUUUGUACAGGAUAGGCGGGAGCCAUUGAAACCGGAGCGCUAGCUUCGGUGGAGGCGCUGGUGGGAUACCGCCCUGACUGUAUUGAAAUUCUAACCUACGGGUCUUAUCGACCCGGGAGACAGUGUCAGGUGGGCAGUUUGACUGGGGCGGUCGCCUCCUAAAGUGUAACGGAGGCGCCCAAAGGUUCCCUCAGAAUGGUUGGAAAUCAUUCGUAGAGUGCAAAGGCAUAAGGGAGCUUGACUGCGAGACCUACAAGUCGAGCAGGGACGAAAGUCGGGCUUAGUGAUCCGGUGGUUCCGCAUGGAAGGGCCAUCGCUCAACGGAUAAAAGCUACCCCGGGGAUAACAGGCUUAUCUCCCCCAAGAGUCCACAUCGACGGGGAGGUUUGGCACCUCGAUGUCGGCUCAUCGCAUCCUGGGGCUGUAGUCGGUCCCAAGGGUUGGGCUGUUCGCCCAUUAAAGCGGUACGCGAGCUGGGUUCAGAACGUCGUGAGACAGUUCGGUCCCUAUCCGUCGUGGGCGUAGGAAAUUUGAGAGGAGCUGUCCUUAGUACGAGAGGACCGGGAUGGACGCACCGCUGGUGUACCAGUUGUUCUGCCAAGGGCAUAGCUGGGUAGCUAUGUGCGGAAGGGAUAAGUGCUGAAAGCAUCUAAGCAUGAAGCCCCCCUCAAGAUGAGAUUUCCCAUAGCGUAAGCUAGUAAGAUCCCUGAAAGAUGAUCAGGUUGAUAGGUUCGAGGUGGAAGCAUGGUGACAUGUGGAGCUGACGAAUACUAAUAGAUCGAGGACUUAACCAUAUAA
rnacentral:rRNA from 1 species